UACGUAAGUUGCGAGCGUUGUCCGGAAUUACUGGGCGUAAAGGACGUGCAGGCGGUCUGCUGAGUCGGGUGUGAAAGACCGGGGCUUAACCCCGGGGCUGCAUCCGAUACUGGCAGACUUGAGUCUUGGAGGGGAGAGCAGAAUUCCAGGUGUAGCGGUGAAAUGCGUAGAUAUCUGGGAGAAUACCGGUGGCGAAGGCGGCUCUCUGGCCAAGUACUGACGCUGAGGCGUGAAAGCGUGGGUAGCAAACAGG
rnacentral:misc_RNA from 1 species